rnacentral:rRNA from 1 species
UACAGAGGGUGCAAGCGUUAAUCGGAAUUACUGGGCGUAAAGCGUGCGUAGACGGUUAUGUAAGUCAGGUGUGAAAGCCCCGGGCUCAACCUGGGAAUUGCAUUUGAGACUGCAUAGCUAGGGUGCGAAAGAGGGAAGCGGAAUUUCCGGUGUAGCGGUGAAAUGCGUAGAUAUCGGAAGGAACAUCAGUGGCGAAAGCGGCUUCCUGGUCCAGCACCGACGUUCAGGCACGAAAGCGUGGGGAGCAAACAGG